GGCCUACCAUGGUGGUAACGGGUAACGGGGUGUUAGGGCACGACACCGGAGAGGGAGCCUGAGAAACGGCUACCACCCCCAAGGAUGGCAGCAGGCGCGCAAAUUACCCAAUCCCGACACGGGGAGGUAGUGACAAUAAAUAACAAUACGGGGUUCUUUCGGAUCUCGUAAUUGGAAUGAGUACAAUUUAAAUCUCUUAACGAGGAACAAUUGGAGGGCAAGUCUGGUGCCAGCAGCCGCGGUAAUUCCAGCUCCAAUAGCGUAUAUUAAAGUUGUUGCAGUUAAAAAGCUCGUAGUUGAAUUUCGGGGUCAGUAGGCUGGUCGUGCCACAGGUAUGUACUGGUCUCACUGAUUCCUCCUUCCUGAUGAACCGUAAUGCCAUUAAUUUGGUGUUGCGGGGAAUCUGGACUGUUACUUUGAAAAAAUUAGAGCGUUUAAAGCAGGCUAACGCUUGAAUACAUUAGCAUGGAAUAAUGAAAUAGGACGAUCGAUCCUAUUUUGUUGGUUUCUGGGAUUGACGUAAUGAUUAAUAGGGAUAGUUGGGGGCAUUAGUAUUCAAUUGUCAGAGGUGAAAUUCUUGGAUUUAUUGAAGACUAACUACUGCGAAAGCAUUUGCCAAGGAUGUUUUCAUUAAUCAAGAACGAAAGUUAGGGGAUCGAAGACGAUCAGAUACCGUCGUAGUCUUAACCAUAAACUAUGCCGACUAGGGAUCGGAUGAUGUUAAUUUUUUAAUGACUCAUUCGGCGCCUUACGGGAAACCAAAGUGUUUGGGUUC
rnacentral:rRNA from 1 species